rnacentral:rRNA from 1 species
AACCGGAUUAGAUACCCUGGUAGUCCCCGCCGUAAACGAUGUCGACCUGGAGGUUGUUCCCUUGAGGAGUGGCUUCCGGAGCUAACGCGUUAAGUCGACCGCCUGGGGAGUACGGCCGCAAGGUUAAAACUCAAAUGAAUUGACGGGGGCCCGCACAAGCGGUGGAGCAUGUGGUUUAAUUCGAUGCAACGCGAAGAACCUUACCUACUCUUGACAUCCAGCGAACUUAGCAGAGAUGCUUUGGUGCCUUCGGGAACGCUGAGACAGGUGCUGCAUGGCUGUCGUCAGCUCGUGUUGUGAAAUGUUGGGUUAAGUCCCGCAACGAGCGCAACCCUUAUCCUUUGUUGCCAGCGAUUCGGUCGGGAACUCAAAGGAGACUGCCGGUGAUAAACCGGAGGAAGGUGGGGAUGACGUCAAGUCAUCAUGGCCCUUACGAGUAGGGCUACACACGUGCUACAAUGGCGCAUACAAAGAGAAGCGACCUCGCGAGAGCAAGCGGACCUCACAAAGUGCGUCGUAGUCCGGAUCGG